rnacentral:rRNA from 1 species
CCGGGUAGAGUAACACGUGGGCAAUCUGCCCUUCACUCUGGGACAAGCCCUGGAAACGGGGUCCUCAAUACCGGAUACUGACCCUUGCAGGCAUCUGGCGAGGUUCGAAAGCUCCGGCGGUGAAGGAUGAGCCCGCGGCCUAUCAGCUUGUUGGUGAGGUAAUGGCUCACCAAGGCAACGACGGGUAUCCGGCCUGAGAGGGCGACCUGGCCACACUGGGACAGAAACACGGCCAAACCCCCCCC